CGGGUGGGGGGUACUCCAACAGUGCAGUCGAACGCUUCUUUUUCCACCGGAGCUUGCUCCACCGGAAAAAGAAGAGUGGCGAACGGGUGAGUAACACGUGGGUAACCUGCCCAUCAGAAGGGGAUAACACUUGGAAACAGGUGCUAAUACCGUAUAACAAUCAAAACCGCAUGGUUUUGAUUUGAAAGGCGCUUUCGGGUGUCGCUGAUGGAUGGACCCGCGGUGCAUUAGCUAGUUGGUGAGGUAACGGCUCACCAAGGCCACGAUGCAUAGCCGACCUGAGAGGGUGAUCGGCCACAUUGGGACUGAGACACGGCCCAAACUCCUACGGGAGGCAGCAGUAGGGAAUCUUCGGCAAUGGACGAAAGUCUGACCGAGCAACGCCGCGUGAGUGAAGAAGGUUUUCGGAUCGUAAAACUCUGUUGUUAGAGAAGAACAAGGAUGAGAGUAACUGUUCAUCCCUUGACGGUAUCUAACCAGAAAGCCACGGCUAACUACGUGCCAGCAGCCGCGGUAAUACGUAGGUGGCAAGCGUUGUCCGGAUUUAUUGGGCGUAAAGCGAGCGCAGGCGGUUUCUUAAGUCUGAUGUGAAAGCCCCCGGCUCAACCGGGGAGGGUCAUUGGAAACUGGGAGACUUGAGUGCAGAAGAGGAGAGUGGAAUUCCAUGUGUAGCGGUGAAAUGCGUAGAUAUAUGGAGGAACACCAGUGGCGAAGGCGGCUCUCUGGUCUGUAACUGACGCUGAGGCUCGAAAGCGUGGGGAGCAAACAGGAUUAGAUACCCUGGUAGUCCACGCCGUAAACGAUGAGUGCUAAGUGUUGGAGGGUUUCCGCCCUUCAGUGCUGCAGCUAACGCAUUAAGCACUCCGCCUGGGGAGUACGACCGCAAGGUUGAAACUCAAAGGAAUUGACGGGGGCCCGCACAAGCGGUGGAGCAUGUGGUUUAAUUCGAAGCAACGCGAAGAACCUUACCAGGUCUUGACAUCCUUUGACCACUCUAGAGAUAGAGCUUCCCCUUCGGGGGCAAAGUGACAGGUGGUGCAUGGUUGUCGUCAGCUCGUGUCGUGAAAUGUUGGGUUAAGUCCCGCAACGAGCGCAACCCUUAUUGUUAGUUGCCAUCAUUCCAUUUGGGCCCUCUAACAAGACUGCCGGUGACAAACCCAAAGAAAAG
rnacentral:rRNA from 1 species